rfam:Fukomys damarensis contig102594, whole genome shotgun sequence.
UAACAGGAUUUUUUAAAAUCCAAGCACACAAAAAAGUGAUAGUCA